AACCUCCGCAAUGUGAGAAAUCGCGACGGGGGGAUCCCAAGUGCCAUUCUUAACGGGAUGGCUUUUCAUUAGUGUAAAGAGCUUUUGGAAUAAGAGCUGGGCAAGACCGGUGCCAGCCGCCGCGGUAACACCGGCAGCUCUAGUGGUAACAAUUUUUAUUGGGCCUAAAGCGUCCGUAGCCGGUUUAAUAAGUCUCUGGUGAAAUCCUGUAGCUUAACUGUGGGAAUUGCUGGAGAUACUAUUAGACUUGAGACCGGGAGAGGUUAGAGGUACUCCCAGGGUAGAGGUGAAAUUCUGUAAUCCUGGGAGGACCGCCUGUUGCGAAGGCGUCUAACUGGAACGGUUCUGACGGUGAGGGACGAAAGUUAGGGGCGCGAACCGGAUUAGAUACCCGGGUAGUCCUAACUGUAACGAUGCGGACUUGGUGUUGGGUGGCUUUGAGCUGCUCCAGUGCCGAAGGGAAGCUGUUAAGUCCGCCGCCUGGGAAGUACGGUCGCAAGACUGAAACUUAAAGGAAGU
rnacentral:rRNA from 1 species